rnacentral:rRNA from 1 species
UACGGAGGAUGCGAGCGUUAUCCGGAUUCAUUGGGUUUAAAGGGUGCGUAGGCGGCUUUUUAAGUCAGUGGUGAAAUCUUGCCGCUUAACGGUAAAAUUGCCAUUGAUACUGAUAAGCUUGAGUACAAUUGAGGUAAGCGGAAUGUGUAGUGUAGCGGUGAAAUGCUUAGAUAUUACACAGAACACCGAUUGCGAAGGCAGCUUACUAAACUGUCACUGACGCUGAUGCACGAAAGCGUGGGGAGCGAACAGG